GAUGAACGCUGGCGGCGUGCUUAACACAUGCAAGUCGAACGGAAAGGCCCAAGCUUGCUUGGGUACUCGAGUGGCGAACGGGUGAGUAACACGUGGGUGAUCUGCCCUGCACUUCGGGAUAAGCCUGGGAAACUGGGUCUAAUACCGGAUAGGACCACAUUUUGGAUGGUGUGGUGGAAAGUUUUUCGGUGUGGGAUGAGCUCGCGGCCUAUCAGCUUGUUGGUGGGGUAAUGGCCUACCAAGGCGUCGACGGGUAGCCGGCCUGAGAGGGUGUACGGCCACAUUGGGACUGAGAUACGGCCCAGACUCCUACGGGAGGCAGCAGUGGGGAAUAUUGCACAAUGGGCGCAAGCCUGAUGCAGUGACGCCGCGUGGGGGAUGACGGCCUUCGGGUUGUAAACUCCUUUCGCUAGGGACGAAGCGUUUUUGUGACGGUACCUGGAGAAGAAGCACCGGCUAACUACGUG
rnacentral:rRNA from 1 species